AUUGAACGCUGGCGGCAGGCCUAACACAUGCAAGUCGAGCGGAUGAAGGGAGCUUGCUCCUGGAUUCAGCGGCGGACGGGUGAGUAAUGCCUAGGAAUCUGCCUGGUAGUGGGGGAUAACGUCCGGAAACGGGUGCUAAUACCGCAUACGUCCUGAGGGAGAAAGUGGGGGAUCUUCGGACCUCACGCUAUCAGAUGAGCCUAGGUCGGAUUAGCUAGUUGGUGGGGUAAAGGCCUACCAAGGCGACGAUCCGUAACUGGUCUGAGAGGAUGAUCAGUCACACUGGAACUGAGACACGGUCCAGACUCCUACGGGAGGCAGCAGUGGGGAAUAUUGGACAAAGGGCGAAAGCCUGAUCCAGCCAUGCCGCGUGUGUGAAGGAGGUCUUCGGAUUGUAAAGCACUUUAAGUUGGGAGGAAGGGCAGUAAGUUAAUACCUUGCUGUUUUGACGUUACCAACAGAAUAAGCACCGGCUAACUUCGUG
rnacentral:rRNA from 1 species